rnacentral:rRNA from 1 species
AUUGAACGCUGGCGGCAGGCCUAACACAUGCAAGUCGAGCGGAGCGGCGGACGGGUGAGUAAUGCCUAGGAAUCUGCCUGGCUGUGGGGGAUAACGUCCGGCAACGGGCGCUAAUACCGCAUACUAUCAGAUGAGCCUAGGUGGGUUUAGCUAGUUGGUGGGGUAAAGGCCUACAAAGGCGACGAUCCGUAACUGGUCUGAGAGGAUGAUCAGUCAGACUGGAACGGAGACACGGUCCAGACUCCUACGGGAGGCAGCAGUGGGGAAUAUUGGACAAUGGGCGAAAGCCUGAUCCAGCCAUGCCGCGUGUGUGAAGAAGGUCUUCGGAUUGUAAAGCACUUUAAGUUGGGAGGCGUUACCAGCAGAAUAAGCACCGGCUAACUCCGUGCCAGCAGCCGCGGUAAUAC